ACUAUUGUCACGGGUUACCGCGGCUGCUGGCACGGAGUUAGCCGGUGCUUCUUCUGUGAGUGAUGUCCUUCCUGCCGGUUAUUGACCCGCAGGCCUUCUUCCUCACUGAAAGUGCUUUACAACCCGAAGGCCUUCUUCACACACGCGGCAUGGCUGGACUCAGGGUUGCCCCCAUUGUCCAAUAUUCCCCACUGCUGCCUCCCGUAGGAGUCUGGGCCGUGUCUCAGUCCCAGUGUGGCUGAUCAUCCUCUCAGACCAGCUACGGAUCGUCGCCUUGGUGAGCCGUUACCUCACCAACCAGCUAAUCCGACAUAGGCUCAUCCGAUAGCGCGAGGCCCGAAGGUCCCCCGC
rnacentral:rRNA from 1 species